AAUAUAUAAAAUUUCAAAUGGUGGUUUAGGACCCCCCCCCUUCCCAACCCUCACCCUCCUAUUUCAGACAAAAAUAGCCCAACCGGGAAGGGUCUAGACUCUAUAGGUUCAUAUAUUUAGGAUUCAAACUAAAAAAACACUAGUAAAUAUAAAUAUAUAUAUGUUUAGCCAGCUUGCUGCGAAUUAAUUUGGAUGUUAUAGAAACAUUUACAGACAAAUCUACAACAUGUCAUCUUAUCAGACAUAACCAUUCGGAGGAGACAGUAGAUAAUUACUUUAGAAGUAAAGACGACAACAAUACUGCCUCAGGUAAGCCUACCAACACAGUCGAGCCGUUUAACUCUAUCAAUCUGAAGGAUCUCAGGUUCACCUGUCUCAGUCCGACCAAUAGUAGUAUCUUUCUCAAGGAAUACUUUGCUGACGAGUUCAAGAUGGAUAAAUAUAAACAUUAAACUUUAUGAUCUGAUGGGUGUUUAGCUCAACAGUCUGGAUGAAUGUUCAUAUUAAACAGUAUCACUCCCAGUCCCAUGUGCAGUGGUGUUUCACUGAACAGUUCAAUAAGGAUAAAUGUGUAUAUAUUAAACUUUAU